AUUGAACGCUGGCGGCAUGCCUAACACAUGCAAGUCGAACGGCAGCACGGGGGCAACCCUGGUGGCGAGUGGCGGACGGGUGAGGAAUGCAUAGGAAUCUGCCCAGUUGUGGGGGAUAACGUAGGGAAACUUACGCUAAUACCGCAUACGACCUACGGGUGAAAGAGGGGGACCUUCGGGCCUCUCGCGAUUGGAUGAGCCUAUGCCGGAUUAGCUAGUUGGCGGGGUAAGAGCCCACCAAGGCGACGAUCCGUAGCUGGUCUGAGAGGAUGAUCAGCCACACUGGAACUGAGACACGGUCCAGACUCCUACGGGAGGCAGCAGUGGGGAAUAUUGGACAAUGGGCGCAAGCCUGAUCCAGCAAUGCCGCGUGUGUGAAGAAGGCCUUCGGGUUGUAAAGCACUUUUGUUUGGGAAGAAAUCCGGUUGGUUAAUACCUGAUCGGGAUGACGGUACCAAAAGAAUAAGCACCGGCUAACUUCGUG
rnacentral:rRNA from 1 species